GCACCUCCACCAUGGCCUGGACCCCUCUCCUCACCCUCCUGGCUCACUGCACAGGCUCUGUGGCCUCCUAUGAGCUGACCCAGCCACACUCAGUGUCAGUGGCCCUGGGACAGACCGCCAGGCUCACCUGCUCUGGAGGUCAAUUAGAGAAGAGAUAUGCUGCCUGGUACCAGCAGAAGCCAGAUCAGGCCCCUAAGCUGGUCAUCAAUAAGGAUAGUGAAUGGCCAUUGGGGAUCCCUGACCGAUUCUCUGGCUCCAGCUCUGGAAACACAGCCACCCUGACCAUCAGCAGGGUCCAGAAUGAGGAUGAGGCUGACUAUUACUGUCUGUCAUCAGAGAGUGAGAGCAGAGGACUGAGAACAAGCAAUGUGCAGGCCUAG